rnacentral:lncRNA from 1 species
AUGGGUAGGGGGGGGCUGUGGCUUUCCCCAUUUUUCCUUUUUCUUUUUUUUUUUUUUUCCUUCGAGCAGGACAUGGGUAUGGGGGUGGCUUCUCCCGGCGGCGAGGUCGAAGUCCCCACGCCUCGGGGGGGACACGUGGAGGGGCUGCAAGGCCAAUUCCUGAGCUCUCUGCGCUGUUCCUGCCCCUCCGCGCCCGGCACCAUCGCACCCCGACACCCCCCUGGCUCCCCAGCCCCUGCUCCCCCAUCCCAAAUCCCUCCUGCCAUCCCGCAGCACCUGGCUCUGCACCUCCCGCUGCCUUCGGUCCCCCUCCGGCACCAAGGCCAGGGCCAAAUUGUCACCUCCUUCGGGUCCCUGUCCCCUGCCACCCUGCUCCGCGCCACCUCUGCUGCUCUGCAUCCUUCCCGGGGACCAGGCACGCUGCGUUGGGUUAUUUUGGGGCUGCAGCCCCAAAAAUGCACAGAAAUACCCAGUCCCGUGUCCCUCGUGUCCUCUGUCCCCGCUCUGUCCCCUCUGCCCCAACCUCUGCCUGCUCACAGCUCUGCACCGCGCGCUCCUCCCUGCCCAAGCCAACACCCGGCCGCUCUCUGCGGGCUGCCAGGAAAAGCCGACACCAGAAUUGUCAACACAGAAAACAGGCAAAAAAGGCAAAAAAAAAAAAAAAAAGGAAAUUUACAUAUGCAAAGUAAAUCAGGCAAAUCCACUGCACCGUUCUCGUUACACCUCAGCAAGCUACACCGGGGGUGCUCGGCACUGGCAAAGCCCCCAAGCGUAAUCCCUGAAAGCGCAAGCACAGCCCGGAGCUCCCACUGCCACGCACGAACCCGGCCGCACUCUGCAGGGACCCCACGUGAGUGUGGUGACCCCAAACCUUCCCCGUGCCUGCCCGAGCCACGUAAUUUUGCCAUAUGGCUCCGACCCAGUGAGCUCGGCUCCGCCACCUCCUCUGGCCACCGGCACCGGGGACGGGCAGGGAGCAGGUCCCUGGUACCGUGGAGUGGCACAGGAGGGACAGAUCCUGAUUCCAAGCACGGUGUCUUUUUAAAAAAGUAUUAA